rnacentral:rRNA from 1 species
CCUACGGGGGGCAGCAGUGGGGAAUAUUGCACAAUGGGGGAAACCCUGAUGCAGCGACGCCGCGUGAGUGAAGAAGUAAUUCGUUACGUAAAGCUCUAUCAGCAGGGAAGAAACACUGACCUUACGGUCAGCAGACGGUACCUGAGUAAGAAGCCCCGGCUAACUACGUGCCAGCAGCCGCGGUAAUACGUAGGGGGCAAGCGUUAUACGGAUUUACUGGGUGUAAAGGGGGCGUAGACGGUGCGCCAAGUCUGUAGUGAAAUGCCGCAGCUUAACUGCGGAACUGCUUUGGAAACUGGCGAACUAGAGUGCGGGAGGGGUAAGCGGAAUGCCUAGUGUAGCGGUGAAAUGCGUAGAUAUUAGGAGGAACACCGGUGGCGAAGGCGGCUUACUGGACCGUAACUGACGUUGAGGCUCGAAAGCGUGGGGAGCAAACAGGAUUAGAUACCCGGGUAGUC